CCGGAUCCACCUCUUCACCCUGGUGCAGAUCCUCUGCCUGGCGGUGCUCUGGAUCCUCAAAUCCACGGUGGCUGCCAUCAUCUUCCCGGUCAUGCCCCAGUUCCCUCCUCCCUCGGUUAUAAAGAUUCCCAUGGAAAGUGUCCAAUCAGAUCCCCAAAACGGUAUCCACUGCAUUGCCAGAAAAAGAUCUUCCAGUUGGAGUUACUCACUCUGAUUCUUCCUUCAGUGACACAGAACUUGACCGAAGGGUUAUAUGAAAAGUUUGAACCAGCCGGGCACAGUGGCACACGCCUGUAAUCCUAGCACUUUGGGAGGCCGAGGCAGGUGAAUUGCCUGAGCUCAGGAGUUCGAGACCAGCCUAGGCAACACGGUGAAACCCCGUCUCUACUAAACUACAAAAAAUUAGCCGGGUGUGGUGGCAUGCACCUGUAGUCCCAGCUAUUCGGGAGGCUGAGGCAGGAGAAUCGCUUGAACCCAGGAGGCAGAAGUUGCAGUGAGCUGAGAUGGCACCACUGCACUCCAGCCUAGGCAACAGAGUGAGACUCCGUAUCCAAACAAAAAAAAAGUUUGAACCAUCUGCAUUAUGGGCCUUGCUCCAGAAGUGUGACUGGGGCUUUCCCAGAUUGAAAAGCCAGUUCCAAAACUCUGUUAAUGAAAGAACCAAUGCAUCUGAGUGGAUAAAUGUUUCUAAAAUAAAAUAGUUCUUGUUAAAGU
rnacentral:lncRNA from 10 species